GUCGUAACAAGGUUUCCGUAGGUGAACCUGCGGAGGGAUCAUUA
rnacentral:rRNA from 4 species